AGAGUUUGAUCCUGGCUCAGAUUGAACGCUGGCGGUAUGCUUAACACAUGCAAGUCGAACGGUAACAGGCCUUCGGGCGCUGACGAGUGGCGGACGGGUGAGUAACGCGUAGGAAUCUGCCUCAUAGUGGGGGACAACGUGGGGAAACUCACGCUAAUACCGCAUACGCCCUACGGGGGAAAGCGGGGGAUCUUCGGACCUCGCGCUAUGAGAUGAGCCUGCGUUAGAUUAGCUAGUUGGUAGGGUAAAGGCCUACCAAGGCGACGAUCUAUAGCUGGUCUGAGAGGACGAUCAGCCACACUGGGACUGAGACACGGCCCAGACUCCUACGGGAGGCAGCAGUGGGGAAUAUUGGACAAUGGGCGCAAGCCUGAUCCAGCAAUACCGCGUGUGUGAAGAAGGCCCUAGGGUUGUAAAGCACUUUCAAUUGGGAGGAAAACCUGCCGGUCAAUACCCGGUAGCUUGACAUUACCUUUAGAAGAAGCACCGGCUAACUCCGUGCCAGCAGCCGCGGUAAUACGGAGGGUGCAAGCGUUAAUCGGAAUUACUGGGCGUAAAGCGUGCGUAGGCGGUUCGUUAAGUCAGAUGUGAAAGCCCCGGGCUUAACCUGGGAACUGCAUUUGAAACUGGCGGACUAGAGUUGAGUAGAGGGGAGUGGAAUUUCAGGUGUAGCGGUGAAAUGCGUAGAUAUCUGAAGGAACACCAGUGGCGAAGGCGACUCCCUGGACUCAAACUGACGCUGAGGUACGAAAGCGUGGGUAGCAAACAGGAUUAGAUACCCUGGUAGUCCACGCUGUAAACGAUGUCAACUAGCCGUUGGUCCUAUUUACAGGAUUAGUGGCGCAGCUAACGCAUUAAGUUGACCGCCUGGGGAGUACGGCCGCAAGGUUAAAACUUAAAGGAAUUGACGG
rnacentral:rRNA from 1 species